AUGUACAUUCCUACAACAUAAUGUUAAUGCACCGAAUCCCAUUAGAACUCUGCAGUUAAGCGCGCUCUUAGACUAGAGUAAUAUUGGGAUGGGUGAUUGCCUAAAAAGUACUAGUGUUUUACAUG
rnacentral:rRNA from 1 species